GGCUAUGUAGCUCAGCUGGUUAGAGCGACGCACUCAUAAUGCGUAGGUCGGUGGUUCAAGUCCACCCAUAGCCACCA
rnacentral:tRNA from 1 species